UACUGUUUGCUAAAGUUUGCUAUGAAGGGCCGUCACCUCCGAUCUAUAUAGUACCAUGUCCCUCUUGCAUUUCUUGAGGCUCUUCUUUUCCUCUGCGGCCUUCAAGAGCUUCUCCAUCCGGUAUGCCUCAAAGUCUCUCUUUAGUUGUUG